rnacentral:rRNA from 1 species
UACGUAGGGGGCGAGCGUUGUCCGGAUUUAUUGGGCGUAAAGAGCUCGUAGGCGGUGUGUCACGUCGUUCGUGAAAACCUGCAGCUUAACUGUGGGCGUGCGGUCGAUACGGGCAUCACUGGAGUUCGGCAGGGGAGACUGGAAUUCCUGGUGUAGCGGUGAAAUGCGCAGAUAUCAGGAGGAACACCGGUGGCGAAGGCGGGUCUCUGGGCCGAUACUGACGCUGGAGGAGCGGAAAGCGUUGGGGAGCAAACAGG